GACGAACGCUGGCGGCGUGCUUAACACAUGCAAGUCGAGCGGUAAGGCCCUUUCGGGGUACGACGAGCGGCGAACGGGUGAGUAACACGUGGGUGACCUGCCCUCAGCUCUGGGAUAAGCCUGGGAAACUGGGUCUAAUACUGGAUAUGACUCCACGGUGCAUGUCGUGGGGUGGAAAGCCUUGUGCGGCUGAGGAUGGGCCCGCGGCCUAUCAGCUUGUUGGUGGGGUGAGGCCUACCAAGGCGACGACGGGUAGCCGGCCUGAGAGGGCGACCGGCCACACUGGGACUGAGACACGGCCCAGACUCCUACGGGAGGCAGCAGUGGGGAAUCUUGCGCAAUGGGCGAAAGCCUGACGCAGCGACGCCGCGUGAGGGAUGACGGCCUGGUUGUAACU
rnacentral:rRNA from 1 species